CGGGUGGGGGCUUAAAAGGGAGUCAGGGUGGACGGCACAGCCCCAUCGGCGUGGGGACACGGAGCUGGUGGGAUCGCGCCAUGGCCUUGGCCGCUCUCCUCCUCGCGGUGCUCGCCCACAGCUCAGGUUCCCUGGUCCAGGCAGCGCUGAAUCAGCUGCCCUCAAUGUCAGCGAACCUGGGACAAACCGUCCAGAUCACCUGCUCUGGGAUCAGCGGCAGCUAUGUUGGCUGGUACCAGCAGAAGGUCCCUGGCACUGCCCCUGUCACUUUGAUCUACUGGAGCACCAACAGACCCUCGGGCAUCCCUUCGCGCUUCUCCGGAUCCUUGUCAGGCUCCACAGCCACAUUAACCAUCACUGGGGUCCAAGCCGAGGACGAGGCUGUCUAUUACUGUGGUAGUGAAGACAGCAGCAACAUUCAUGGUGCCUCGUUGACACAGACCAAUGGGGAAGUUUUACAAAAAUCUUAA